rnacentral:rRNA from 1 species
AGCGAACGCUGGCGGCAGGCCUAAUACAUGCAAGUCGAACGAGAUCCAAGAGCUUGCUUUUGGUGAAAGUGGCGCACGGGUGCGUAACGCGUAUGCAACCUACCUUAAUCAGGGGGAUAGCCUCUCGAAAGAGAGAUUAACACCGCAUAACAUUAUGAUAUGGCAUCAUAUUAUAAUCAAAUAUUUAUAGGAUUAAGAUGGGCAUGCGUGACAUUAGCUAGUUGGUGAGGUAACGGCUCACCAAGGCUACGAUGUCUAGGGGAUCUGAGAGGAUGACCCCCCACACUGGUACUGAGACACGGACCAGACUCCUACGGGAGGCAGCAGUAAGGAAUAUUGGUCAAUGGAGGCAACUCUGAACCAGCCAUGCCGCGUGCAGGAAGACGGCCCUAUGGGUUGUAAACUGCUUUUAUACGGGAAUAAACCUCUCUACGUGUAGGGAGUUGAAUGUACUGUAAGAAUAAGGAUCGGCUAACUCCGUGCCAGCAGCCGCGGUAAUAC